CAAUCCACCCAGAGAUGGAUGGAUGAACCGCAAGAAGUCAGCAGAGGCCAUAGUACUGGUGAAAGAAAAACAAUCAGGAAGGGC
rfam:Cloacibacillus evryensis DSM 19522 genomic scaffold CloevDRAFT_Scaffold1.1, whole genome shotgun sequence.